ACGGAAGGCAGCAGUGGGGAAUAUUGCACAAUGGGGGAAACCCUGAUGCAGCGACGCCGCGUGAGUGAAGAAGUUAUUCGUAAUGUAAAGCUCUAUCAGCAGGGAAGAAAAUGACGGUACCUGACUAAGAAGCCCCGGCUAACUACGUGCCAGCAGCCGCGGUAAUACGUAGGGGGCAAGCGUUAUCCGGAUUUACUGGGUGUAAAGGGAGCGUAGACGGCUUAGCAAGUCUGAUGUGAAAGGCAGGGGCUCAACUCCUGGACUGCAUUGGAAACUGUUAAGCUAGAGUGCCGGAGAGGUAAGCGGAAUUCCUAGUGUAGCGGUGAAAUGCGUAGAUAUUAGGAGGAACAUCAGUGGCGAAGGCGGCUUACUGGGCUUUAACUGACGCUGAGGCUCGAAAGCGUGGGGAGCAAACAGGAUUAGAUACCCUGGUA
rnacentral:rRNA from 1 species